AUUGAACGCUGGCGGCAGGCCUAACACUUGCAAGUCGAGCGGAUGAAGGGAGCUUGCUCCUGGAUUCAGCGGCGGACGGGUGAGUAAUGCCUAGGAAUCUGCCUGGUAGUGGGGGAUAACGUCCGGAAACGGGCGCUAAUACCGCAUACGUCCUGAGGGAGAAAGUGGGGGAUCCUCGGACCUCACGCUAUCAGAUGAGCCUAGGUCGGAUUAGCUAGUUGGUGGGGUAAAGGCCUACCAAGGCGACGAUCCGUAACUGGUCUGAGAGGAUGAUCAGUCACACUGGAACUGAGACACGGUCCAGACUCCUACGGGAGGCAGCAGUGGGGAAUAUUGGACAAUGGGCGAAAGCCUGAUCCAGCCAUGCCGCGUGUGUGAAGAAGGUCUUCGGAUUGUAAAGCACUUUAAGUUGGGAGGAAGGGCAGUAAGUUAAUACCUUGCUGUUUUGACGUUACCAACAGAAUAAGCACCGGCUAACUUCGUG
rnacentral:rRNA from 1 species